ACAGAUGAGGAAACAGGCACACAGAGCAGAAGUAACAUGACCAAGUUCAUACGUCCUUGUAAGUGAUGGAGCAGUGAUACAGCCCAGCCAUAUGCUGCACGAUCCUCUCUCACGAUGCUGGGCAGUGGCAGCAAACCGUAGACCCCAGUCAGCCACACCACCACCAGGAAUAAGAGCAUUUCUGUCUUUUCCCAUUGGCACCUGGCCUUGAGAGGCUGUGAUGGAUGAUGGUGUGCUUUACAGAGCCGUCGGGAUUAUUACUUGUGCUCUUCUUUAUCAAAUGACAAGAUGCCCUCUGCCCUGAGAAUUUAUGUGGGAAUUGAGGCAUUCAUGAA